UGGCUCAGAACGAACGCUGGCGGCGUGCCUAACACAUGCAAGUCGAACGAGAAAGGGGAGCAAUCCCUGAGUAAAGUGGCGACCGGGUGAGUAACACGUGACUAACCUGCCUUCGAGUGGGGGAUAACCUCGGGAAACCGGGGCUAAUACCGCAUAAUGCCUUCGGGUUAAAGGAGCAAUUCGCUUGAAGAGGGGGUCGCGGCUGAUUAGCUAGUUGUUGUGGUAACGGCCCACGAGAAAAGAAGAUCGGUAGCCGGCCUGAGAGGGCGCACGGCCACAUNGUCCCUGAAACACGGACCAGACUCCUACUUGAGUCAGUAGUGGGG
rnacentral:rRNA from 1 species